rnacentral:rRNA from 1 species
GACGAACGCUGGCGGCGUGCCUAAUACAUGCAAGUUGAGCGCUGAAGGUUGGUCCUUGUCCCAACUGGAUGAGCAGUGAACGGGUGAGUAACGCGUGGGGAAUCUGCCUUUGAGCGGGGGACAACAUUUGGAAACGAAUGCUAAUACCGCAUAAAAACUUUAAACACAAGUUUUAAGUUUGAAAGAUGCCAUUGCAUCACUCAAAGAUGAUCCCGCGUUGUAUUAGCUAGUUGGUGGGGUAAAGGCUCACCAAGGCGAUGAUCCGUAGCCGACUUGAAAGGAGGUCGGCCACAAUGGGACUGAGACACCGCCCAAACUUCUAAGGGGAGCAGCAGUAGGGAAUCUUCGGCAAAUGAGCGAAGCCUGGCCGAGCAACGGCGGCGUAGGGGAGGAGGGUUUCGGAGCGUAAAACUCUGUUGGUAGGGAAGGACGUUGGUGAGAGUGGAAAGCUCAUCAAGUGACGGUAACUACCCAGAAAGCGACGGCUAACUACGUG